UGGGGGAUAUUGCACAAUGGGCGAAAGCCUGAUGCAGCGACGCCGCGUGGGGGAUGAAGGCUUUCGGGUUGUAAACCUCUUUCGCUAUCGAACAAGGCCCGCUUAGGGUGGGUUGAGGGUAGGUGGAGAAGAAGCGCCGGCUAACUACGUGCCAGCAGCCGCGGUAAUACGUAGGGCGCGAGCGUUGUCCGGAAUUAUUUGGCGUAAAGGGCUUGUAGGCGGCUUGUUGCGCCUGCUGUGAAAACGCGGGGCUUAACUUCGCGCGUGCAGUGGGUACGGGCAGGCUUGAGUGUGGUAGGGGUAGCUGGAAGUCCAGGUGUAGCGGUAGAAUGCGCAGAUAUCUGGAGGAACACCGAUGGCGAAGGCAGGUCACUGGGCCAUUACUGACGCUGAGGAGCGAAAGCAUGGGUAGCGAACAGG
rnacentral:rRNA from 1 species